UACAGAGGGGGCCAGCGUUAUUCGGAAUUAUUGGGCGUAAAGGGCGCGUAGGCGGCUUUGCGUGUCUUUCGUGAAAUCCCUCGGCUCAACUGAGGACGUGCGGAAGAAACUGCAGGGCUGGAGUCCGGGAGAGGAGGGUGGAAUUCCCAGUGUAGCGGUGAAAUGCGUAGAUAUCGGAAGGAACAUCAGUGACGAAGGCGACUUUCUGGACAGAUACUGACACUGAGGCACGAAAGCAUGGGGAGCAAACAGG
rnacentral:rRNA from 1 species